GAUGGUUUAAUCCCUUCCCUUGUUA
rnacentral:tRNA from 1 species